AGUGGGGAAUAUUGGACAAUGGGCGCAAGCCUGAUCCAGCCAUGCCGCGUGAGUGAUGAAGGCCCUAGGGUUGUAAAGCUCUUUCAACGGUGAAGAUAAUGACGGUAACCGUAGAAGAAGCCCCGGCUAACUUCGUGCCAGCAGCCGCGGUAAUACGAAGGGGGCUAGCGUUGUUCGGAAUAACUGGGCGUAAAGCGCACGUAGGCGGAAUGUUAAGUGAGGGGUGAAAUCCCGGGGCUCAACCCCGGAACUGCCUUUCAUACUGGCAAUCUAGAGAUCGAGAGAGGUGAGUGGAAUUCCGAGUGUAGAGGUGAAAUUCGUAGAUAUUCGGAGGAACACCAGUGGCGAAGGCGGCUCACUGGCUCGAUACUGACGCUGAGGUGCGAAAGCGUGGGGAGCAAA
rnacentral:rRNA from 1 species